rnacentral:rRNA from 1 species
AUUGAACGCUGGCGGCAUGCCUUACACAUGCAAGUCGAACGGUAACGGGCCUUCGGGUGCCGACGAGUGGCGAACGGGUGAGUAAUGCAUCGGAACGUACCUUUCAGUGGGGGAUAACGUAGCGAAAGUUACGCUAAUACCGCAUAUUCUGUGAGCAGGAAAGCAGGGGAUCGCAAGACCUUGCGCUGAUUGAGCGGCCGAUGUCAGAUUAGCUAGUUGGUGAGGUAAAGGCUCACCAAGGCGACGAUCUGUAGCGGGUCUGAGAGGAUGAUCCGCCACACUGGAACUGAGACACGGUCCAGACUCCUACGGGAGGCAGCAGUGGGGAAUUUUGGACAAUGGGGGGCAACCCUGAUCCAGCCAUGCCGCGUGAGUGAAGAAGGCCUCGGUUGU